ACGGAAGGCAGCAGUGGGGAAUAUUGGGCAAUGGGCGAAAACCUGAUGCAGCGAUGCCGCGUGAGGGAAGAAGGUUUUCGGAUUGUAAACCUCUGUCAUCGGGGACGAUAAUGACUGUACCCGAGAAGGAAGCUCCGGGUAUCUACGUGCCAGCAGCCGCGGUAAUACGUAGGGAGCGAGAGUUAUCCGGAAUUACUGGGUGUAAAGGGAGUGUAGGCGGGACUGUAAGUCAGAUGUGAAAUAUACCGGCUCAACUGGUAGACUGCAUUUGAAACUGCGGUUCUUGAGUGAAGUAGAGGUAAGCGGAAUUCCUAGUGUAGCGGUGAAAUGCGUAGAUAUUAGGAGGAACAUCAGUGGCGAAGGCGGCUUGCUGGGCUUUAACUGACGCUGAGGCUCGAAAGCGUGGGGAGCAAACAGGAGUAGAUACCCUGGUA
rnacentral:rRNA from 1 species